UGCACGGACCCACGGCCAGAUCCCCGGAGCCCCACGAACCCACAGACGGACCCCCAGAGCUGCACGGACCCACGGCCAGACCCCCGGAGCCCCACGAACCCACAGACGGACCCCCAGAGCCGCACGGACCCACGGCCAGACCCCUCGGAGCCCCACGAACCCACAGAUGGACCUCCAGAGCCACACGGACCCACGGCCAGACCCACAGAUGAAGCCCUGACCACCGACCCCGUUGGGGGGCCCGGCCUGGCGCCCUGGCAGGGGGAGGGAGCAGGCGACGGGGCCCCCCCGGGGCAGCCCCGUCCCUACCUCCUGGCGGUGCUGGUGCUGUUGGGCAUCACCUUGCUGCUGGUGGGGGCCCUGACCUACGUGCUCUGCCGGAGGAGCCGGCGGCCCCCCCGGGGACCCGCCCCCCCCCACAGAGACCCAGGCACCGGGACGCCGUACUACCCCUGCGAGCUGGGCUGACGGAUGGCGCCACCUGUCGGCUACCCCCACGAACGGACCCCAGCACCCCACUGAUUUCGUUGGGGGGUGGGUGGAGGGUGAUGGUAUGCGAGGGGAGAGGGCGUUGGGGGUCUAAUCGCCCAGCCCACCCCCUCCACUUGAUGAACGGACCCCGACGUCCGGGGGGGGCCCCGCAGAGCUGGCCCCCCCCGCACUAAGCUAAUCGCUAACCACAGACGAGGUACUCCAGCUCUGGGGAGACGCCAGCCCUGCCCCCGCCCCCCAGAGCCCCCACUAAUUUAUUCCCUGGAAGAGCUUAAAUACAGAUGUUUGUACAAG